rnacentral:ncRNA from 1 species
UCAAAUCAAAGGCAAAACAGACGAAAGUCUGUGACGCAAAACUAUAGGGGCCGAAAUAGCCAGCCAGUUGCAUUC